AGUAAGUCACUAUCUCUGCCUCCCAGCUU
rnacentral:piRNA from 1 species